rnacentral:rRNA from 1 species
AACGAACGCUGGCGGCAUGCCUAACACAUGCAAGUCGAACGAGACCUUCGGGUCUAGUGGCGCACGGGUGCGUAACGCGUGGGAAUCUGCCCUUGGGUUCGGAAUAACUCGCCGAAAGGCGUGCUAAUACCGGAUGAUGACGUAAGUCCAAAGAUUUAUCGCCCAAGGAUGAGCCCGCGUUGGAUUAGCUAGUUGGUGAGGUAAAGGCUCACCAAGGCGACGAUCCAUAGCUGGUCUGAGAGGAUGAUCAGCCACACUGGGACUGAGACACGGCCCAGACUCCUACGGGAGGGAGCAGUGGGGAAUAUUGGACAAUGGGCGAAAGCCUGAUCCAGCAAUGCCGCGGGAGUGAUGAAGGCCUUAGGGUUGUAAAGCUCUUUUAGACGGGAUGAUAAUGACCGUACCGGGAGAAUAAGCACCGGCUAACUCCGUG